AAGAGCCAUAUGAUGGGAAACUAUCUCCUAUGGUUCGGAGAGGACAGGGUCAAAAAUAAUAGUUGGUAGUGCCAUCCAACUAAU
rfam:Picea glauca, whole genome shotgun sequence.